AUUGAACGCUGGCGGCAGGCCUAACACAUGCAAGUCGAGCGGAUGAAGGGAGCUUGCUCCUGGAUUCAGCGGCGGACGGGUGAGUAAUGCCUAGGAAUCUGCCUGGUAGUGGGGGAUAACGUCCGGAAACGGGCGCUAAUACCGCAUACGUCCUGAGGGAGAAAGUGGGGGAUCUUCGGACCUCACGCUACCAGAUGAGCCUAGGUCGGAUUAGCUAGUUGGUGGGGUAAAGGCCUACCAAGGCGACGAUCCGUAACUGGUCUGAGAGGAUGAUCAGUCACACUGGAACUGAGACACGGUCCAGACUCCUACGGGAGGCAGCAGUGGGGAAUAUUGGACAAUGGGCGAAAGCCUGAUCCAGCCAUGCCGCGUGAGUGAAGAAGGUCUUCGGAUUGUAAAGCACUUUAAGUUGGGAGGAAGGGCAGUAAGUUAAUACCUUGCUGUUUUGACGUUACCAACAGAAUAAGCACCGGCUAACUUCGUG
rnacentral:rRNA from 1 species